rnacentral:rRNA from 1 species
UCGAGCGGAAACGAGUUAUUUGAACCUUCGGGGAAUGAUAACGGCGUCGAGCGGCGGACGGGUGAGUAAUGCCUGGGAAUAUGCCUUGAUGUGGGGGAUAACCAUUGGAAACGAUGGCUAAUACCGCAUAAUCUCUUCGGAGCAAAGAGGGGGACCUUCGGGCCUCUCGCGUCAAGAUUAGCCCAGGUGGGAUUAGCUAGUUGGUGAGGUAAUGGCUCACCAAGGCAACGAUCCCUAGCUGGUCUGAGAGGAUGAUCAGCCACACUGGAACUGAGACACGGUCCAGACUCCUACGGGAGGCAGCAGUGGGGAAUAUUGCACAAUGGGCGCAAGCCUGAUGCAGCCAUGCCGCGUGUGUGAAGAAGGCCUUCGGGUUGUAAAGCACUUUCAGUAGGGAGGAAGGUGUUGUCGUUAAUAGCGGCAUCAUUUGACGUUACCUACAGAAGAAGCACCGGCUAACUCCGUGCCAGCAGCCGCGGUAAUACGGAGGGUGCGAGCGUUAAUCGGAAUUACUGGGCGUAAAGCGCAUGCAGGUGGUGAGUUAAGUCAGAUGUGAAAGCCCGGGGCUCAACCUCGGAACUGCAUUUGAAACUGGCUUA